GCCAGAAUGGUUUAGCAGUUUGAAUGUUAGACUACAACUCUGGAGACCAGGGUUCAAAUCUCCGCUUGGUUA